UACAGAGGUCCCAAGCGUUGUUCGGAUUCAUUGGGCGUAAAGGGUGCGUAGGUGGCGGGGUAAGUCAGGUGUGAAAUCUCGGAGCUCAACUCCGAAACUGCACUUGAUACUGCCUUGCUCGAGUACUGGAGAGGAGAUUGGAAUUUACGGUGUAGCAGUGAAAUGCGUAGAUAUCGUAAGGAAGACCAGUGGCGAAGGCGAAUCUCUGGACAGUUACUGACACUGAGGCACGAAGGCCGGGGGAGCAAACAGG
rnacentral:rRNA from 1 species